UACAGGGGUCCCAAGCGUUGUUCGGAUUCACUGGGCGUAAAGGGUGCGUAGGUGGCGAGGUAAGUUUGAUGUGAAAUCUCCGGGCUUAACCCGGAAAUGGCAUUGAAUACUAUCUGGCUGGAGGGUUGGAGGGGGGACUGGAAUUCUCGGUGUAGCAGUGAAAUGCGUAGAUAUCGAGAGGAACACCGGUGGCGAAGGCGAGUCCCUGGACAACACCUGACACUGAGGCACGAAAGCUAGGGGAGCAAACAGG
rnacentral:rRNA from 1 species